rnacentral:rRNA from 1 species
GUCUAUAGCCAUGCUACCCUGAACAAGCCCGAUCCCGUCUGAUCUCGGAAGCUAAGCAGGGUCGGGCCUGGUUAGUACUUGGAUGGGAGACCACCUAGGAAGACCAGGUGCUGCAGGCA